rnacentral:siRNA from 1 species
UGCUCAUUUGAUCCUCCACGUGAU